AUGUACCCAGCUCCUCAGGUUUCCACUGCUGUGGUUGAGCCCUACAAUUCCAUCCUCACCACCCACACCACCCUGGAGCACUCUGAUUGUGCCUUCAUGGUAGACAAUGAGGCCAUCUAUGACAUCUGUCAUAGAAACCUCGACAUUGAGCGCCUAACCUACACUAACCUUAACUGCCUUAUUAGCCAGAUUGUGUCUUCCAUCACUGCUUCCCUCAGAUUUGAUGGGGCCCUGAAUGUUGAUCUGACAGAAUUCCAGACCAACCUGGUGCCCUAACCUCAUAUCCACUUCCCUCUGGCCACUUAUGCCCCAGUUAUCUCUGCUGAGAAAGCUGUUAUCAUGAGUAGCUUUCUGUAGCAGAGAUCACCAAUGCCUGCUUUGAGCCAUCCAACCAGAUGGUGAAAUGUGACCCUUGCCAUGGUAAAUACAUGGCUUGCUGCCUGCUGUACCGUGGUGAUGUGGUCCCCAAAGAUGUCAAUGCUGCCAUUGCUACCAUCAAGACCAAGUGUAGCAUCCAGUUUGUAGACUGGUGCCCCAAUGGCUUCAAGGUUGGCAUUAAUUACCAGCCUCCCACUGUGGUACCUGGUGGUGACCUGGCCAAGGUCCAGAAAGCUAUGUGCAUGCUGAGCAACACCACAGCCAUUUCUGAGACCUGGGCUCACCUAGAUCACAAGUUUGAUCUGAUGUAUGCCAAGCGUGCCUUUGUGCACUGGUAUGUGGGUAAGGACAUGGAGGAGGGGGAGUUCUCUGAGGCCUGUGAGGACAUGGCUGCCCUGGAGAAGGAUUAUGAGGAGGUCAGUGUGGAUUCAGUGGAAGGUGAGGGUGAAGAAGAAGGAGAGGAAUACUAAGUCCAUUCCUCUAGCUCCUGUGUCAUGUCAAACUCCAGCUCCAGCAUUAGCUACAGGCAUUGAUGCUUCUGUGUUGUUUCCAUUCUGUGAUCAUGUCUUCUCCAUGUGUACCUCUUACAUUUUCCAUGAUGUCUCAAAGUAAAAGCUUUAAGAAAAGAAAAAAA